rnacentral:misc_RNA from 1 species
UGUAGGAGUGAGCCUGCUCGCGAUGGCGGUGGGUCAUCCGGCAUAACGGGUGACUGACACGACGUCAUCGCGAGCAGGCUCACUCCUACA